rnacentral:rRNA from 1 species
AACGAACGCUGGCGGCAGGCUUAACACAUGCAAGUCGAGCGCCCAGCAAUGGGAGCGGCGCACGGGUGAGUAACACGUGGGAACAUGCCCUAUGGUUCGGAAUAACGCAGGGAAACUUGCGCUAAUACCGGAUAAGCCCUUACGGGGAAAGAUUUAUCGCCAUUGGAGUGGCCCGCGUUGGAUUAGCUAGUUGGUGGGGUAAAGCCUACCAAGGCAACGAUCCAUAGCUGGCUGAGAGGACGACCAGCCACACUGGGACUGAGACACGGCCCAGACUCCUACGGGAGGCAGCAGUGGGGAAUCUUGGACAAUGGGGGGAAACCCUGAUCCAGCCAUGCCGCGUGAGUGAUGAAGGCCUUAGGGUUGUAAACUACUUUCGUCGGGACGAUAAUGACGGUACCCGCAGAAGAAGCUCCGGCUAACUUCGUGCCAGCAGCCGCGGU